GGAGCCGUCGUCCAGCCCGGUUAGGACACCGGCCUGUCAAGCCGGAGGUCGCGGGUUCAAAUCCCGUCGCUCCC
rnacentral:tRNA from 1 species